AUUCGGACUCUCUCUUACAUUUUUAUUCCUUCUUUAGCCUCCUCCUAUCAAGAUUCGACGCACCAUUGAUAUCACCAGGGAGGUUGAUGAGACUGUUUGCAAACCUAAUGACGAAGAGGGCACUUGAAACCACAAUCCUCAAAGAAUUCAAGAACUCGAUCACGAGGACCAUGAUAUAUGAUCUUCUUUUGAGCCAUCAAGAUUAUGUCGUCGAAGAGAUCGAAGGUUUCGGGAGCUGGCUGAAGAAGGGAGACAAGUAUUGUAGCAUCUGUAAAACGAGCUAGAUUUUGCAGACAAGAAACGAUUUGAAAUGCUGUGGAACUGUCCAAUCCAUUUGUUAUUUCAUCCAUGAACAAAGCUCUGUGUGGACCAACCAUCAUUUCUCCUGCAUGUUUUUAUUUUAUUUUAGUUUAUUUCAAUCCAAUCAACUUCUAAAACAUGUUCGGUUUUCA